AUGUCAGUUUCGUUAUUACAACCUUAUUUUUUUAUGUCAAAGACAAAAAGCUACGCGCAAAUUCUCAUUUUUUCUCGGUUGUUCUUAACAGCGAUGACUAUUCAUUUAAGUCUUCGGGUAGCACCACAAGAUCUUCAACAAGGUGGAAAUUCUCGUAUUUCGUAUGUACAUGUUCCUGCGGCUCGGAUGAGUAUAGUUAUUUAUAUUGCGACAGUUAUAAACAGUUCCUUGUUCCCAUUAACAAAACAUCCCCUUUUUCUUCGCUCUUCCGGAACCGGUACAGAAAUUGGUGCUUUUUCUACUUUGUUUACGUUAGUGACUGGGGGGUUUCGGGGAAGGCCUAUGUGGGGUACCUUUCGGGUGUGGGAUGCUCGUUUAACUUCUGUAUUCAUCUUGUUCCUUAUUUACCUGGGUGCACUGCAUUUUCAAAAGCUUCCUGUCGAACCGGCUCCUAUUUCAAUCCGUGCUGGACCGAUCGAUAUACCAAUAAUAAAGUCUGCAGUCAACUGGUGGAAUACAUCGCAUCAACCUGGGAGCAUUAGCCGAUCUGGUACAUCAAUACAUGUUCCUAUGCCCAUUCCAAUCUUGUCUAACUUUGCUAACUUCCCCUUCUCUACCCGUAUCUUGUUCGUUCUGGAAACACAUCUUCCUAUUCCAUCUUUUCCCGAAUCUCCCUUAACGGAAGAAAUAGAAGCUCGAGAAGGAAUACCACUAAAAACCUAG
rnacentral:rRNA from 1 species